rnacentral:piRNA from 1 species
UGGAAAUCCUCUUGUUCUUUAACCUUCCA